GAGAAUGUAGCUUAGUGGUAGAGUGCUUGCCUGGCAUGCAAGAAUUCCUGGGUUCAAUUCCUCAGUACCA
rnacentral:tRNA from 1 species